rnacentral:lncRNA from 1 species
AUUAAGUCAAGUGCAGUAUACUUGGGUUCAAUUUGAGUCAACUAAAAAAAAAGCUCAGCAGCAUGUAGCCUUUUAAAUUUUAGUUGAGUCAACUUUUUGUGCAGUUUUUAAUUUUGAGUUCAAUACUAUUAGUUCCCUUAAUAUAUGUUCUGUGUUUUUCCAUCAGGCAGCAGUCAGAGUUCAUUCUGUGAUGAUCUUUCUCCAGGAGUCGAGAGGGGCCGCAUGUACGCCACUCUGGGCCCCAACUGGAGGGCUCCUGUACGCAAUUCCCCCAGAGGCCGCGGCCAGGCCCUCAGGUACACCUCUCCAUCCUCUGGACCUCCGCCCGCUCCACCUGUCCUGGCAUGCACUGUCUCUUCCUUCACAUUACUCUAGUUCAGACUGUCACACGUCUCUCGACUUCUGUUUUCUCCAGAGUCUCAUCAUCUCAGACUGCUGUUAUAGCACUCAGUCACUGCAUAAUAAAGCUCUGUCCACAACAACACGAGUAUUUUCUAAACCAGUUUUUUUUCUACAUGGUUUGGCUGUUUGUCCACAUGAAAACGCAGGGCUCUAAUUUGACGGUCCAUGCGCAGGGCGCAAACGCUUUCAGAGCGUGUCAGGACGCGUUUUUGCUAAUUUAAGGACGGGAAAUCUGCCUUGUGCCAAGGCGCAUGUUCUAAAAGGGUUGAGUUUAUUUUCUUAAUGAGUUAUAGGUGUGUUUUGAGAAUAAACCAAUCAGAGUCUUAUCUCCCAUUCCCUUUAAGAGUCAGCUGCAUCACACCAAGAGCGCAUUCGCUAUUUACAGGACGCAAAGUAAGUCUAAGUGGAAAAAAUGAGCAUUUCACAAGCAAACAGUUAACAGUUAACAGUUUUUUAACAGAAAACUGUUAAACAGAGCAUCUACUGCGUGAGAAUGAGAGAUAAUGGAUCUACUUUCACUUUCGCUCUUGGAUAGGGAAACCUUUACGCACAGACAUCAAUUAGCCUAUAAAUAAUUAAUUUCGUUUGUUAAGUGCAAAGAUUUGUUUCAAAACUAUUUCUAAAUUCAGUUCUGAUUUCUAGCAAACGAAUAAAUGAACAACAAUAACCAAGUGUGGUCAAAAUACUGAGUUAUUUCCAAAUACACCUGCCAUGCCCCAUAUGGUUUUAAACCUGACAGGUGGCCAAAUCUAAGCUUGUUUUUAAUAAAAC